GAUGAACGCUAGCGGCAGGCUUAAUACAUGCAAGUCGUGGGGCAGCAUGGGUGUAGCAAUACAUCUGAUGGCGACCGGCAAACGGGUGCGGAACACGUACGCAACCUUCCUUCAAGUGGGGAAUAGCCCAGAGAAAUUUGGAUUAAUACCCCGUAAUAUUAUGAGAUGGCAUCAUCUUAUAAUUAUAGCUUCGGCGCUUGAAGAUGGGCGUGCGGCUGAUUAGGUAGUUGGCGGGGUAACGGCCCACCAAGCCUUCGAUCAGUAACUGGU
rnacentral:rRNA from 1 species